GACGAACGCUGGCGGCGUGCUUAACACAUGCAAGUCGAACGGAAAGGCCCUGCUUUUGUGGGGUGCUCGAGUGGCGAACGGGUGAGUAACACGUGAGUAACCUGCCCUUGACUUUGGGAUAACUUCAGGAAACUGGGGCUAAUACCGGAUAGGAGCUCCUGCUGCAUGGUGGGGGUUGGAAAGUUUCGGCGGUUGGGGAUGGACUCGCGACUUAUCAGCUUGUUGGUGGGGUAGUGGCUUACCAAGGCUUUGACGGGUAGCCGGCCUGAGAGGGUGACCGGCCACAUUGGGACUGAGAUACGGCCCAGACUCCUACGGGAGGCAGCAGUGGGGAAUAUUGCACGAUGGGCGGAAGCCUGGUGCAGCAACGCCGCGUGCGGGAUGACGGCCUUCGGGUUGUAAACCGCUUUCGCCUGUGACGAAGCGUGAGUGACGGUAAUGGGUAAAGAAGCACCGGCUAACUACGUG
rnacentral:rRNA from 1 species